AGCGCGCGUGGAGGAGUAGUGGGCGGUGGAACGGCGCGUGUGCGCGUGCUCGGUGGGCGUGGUGGUGGAAUGAUGGUUGUUGGGAAGAAGCGCGAGGGGCAGCAGUGUUGGUGAAGCCGCCUCGCCGUCACCACCAUCAUCCUCCCCCUACCCCCCCGGCUACCACCACGCCCACUCGACCGCAUACUGCCGUCACUACCGCUGCUGCUGCUCUAUACCGCCGCAUCUUGUGUCACUCCCACUCAGUUUGUCUCCCGCGCUGUAAGGAGUAACAUCUAGUGUUGCGUGACGGUGGUGCAGGAGGGCAGGAACAACCCUGUUCGAGGUACUAGGGUCCUGCUGCUGCACCACGAAGGGCGUCGACGUCGGUCCUGGCCGCAACGAGGGGCGUAUUACCUCGACCAUUAUCAGGGGGCGACGCGACCCUCCACUACCCAUCAAGGAGAUUGGUCGUCAUUGUGUGCCCCAUUCCAGGCCUUCCCAGGUCAUCUAAUAUCAUCUUAGGUCAGGUUCUAUUGCCUCAGUGUUUGACCUAGUACACCGAGGUCACUUAUCAGGCAGUGAUAGGGGUGUUGGGACGCACUUUUCACGGUAAAACGUCGCCAGAAGGGACAUGUACAGUAAUUCUAAGUGAGGCGGUUCAGGAGAAACUACUGUACAGUACUUGUCUGAGUCUGUGGGGACGUCCGUCAAUAAAGUGGUGUACGACAUUUUCUCCGUGUGGAUACCAUAACGAGAUAAUUUGUCCGUGAAGACAGUGAUGUCCGUAAUUGUUCUGUAGAUGAAGACGUCCGUUUUUUUUUUCUCUCCACGAAGACAACACAGCAAGCGUACAGAGGGACUGAUUCAAACUCCAAUUCAGAGCACAGUGGUUUAAGUAAGAAAACAGAAAAUCAAUGAACACAACAAUAAACGAAUGAGUGAUAAUAUAACAUUGAUAAUCAUGGAAUAAUCAGCCAAUGAACGAGAGAAACAACGGCGGUUUAGUGUUGAUGUGAUCCAAGCUGACCAAGGUGGAGUAACAGGACAGUGUGUCGGUCUUAUGAUAUAAUUAGUGCGCAAAAGAAAACAGUAAAAGUGGUGAAACGAGACAGAAUCCUACAGGGAGAGUUUACUUAUCAUUAAUUAAGACAGAACUACAGUAUACUUACAGUGAACAACCAUCAAUAUAGAAAUACAAACGUUAACAGAUAUAUCCAACCCAGGUGCAAGUGUCACUUCAUCGGGACUCAACUAUAAGUGUCACUGUGUCAGAACCUAACCAUAAAUAUCACUGUGUCAGAACCUAACCAUAAAUAUCACUGUGUCAGAA